rnacentral:lncRNA from 1 species
AACCCGAAACUCCUCUCCUCCUGGGAUCCUCAAACCGACUGUUGUACUAGCUGGACCGGCAUUGAGUGCACUAACGGCCGCGUCACAUUAUUCUCUAUGGCCAGCGACGACAGUGUCGUCGGUCAGAUCCCGGACCAGAUCGGCGACCUCCCUGAACUCCGUACACUCGAAAUGAGUUCCAUAAAUCUAACCGGAAACAUACCACGCACCAUCACCAAACUCAAGCACCUCGUCCUCAUCUUCUUAAGCUGGAACAAACUAUCCGGUCCAAUUCCUGAUUACAUCAGCGAGCUCAAAAGCGUUACGUUCUUGGACAUCUCCUUUAACAAGUUUACCGGUCCUAUUCCCGGUUGGCUUACUCAGAUGCCGAACCUUCAGACCUUUCAGGCCGACAACAAUUCGCUAACCGGUCCUAUACCGAACUCUUUCGGUUCCUUUGUAGGCAACGUCCCUAAUCUUUUCUUGCCUUACAAUAAGCUCUCAGGUAUACCAAUUUUUUUUUUUCAAUUAUACCAUUUCAUAAUAUAAGUAGUUUAGGAUUUUUUUUUUAUUACAAAAUAUAAUUAAGUAGUUUUGACAUCUGUAUGCACUUUUUACAUUUAUGUCGCCAAUUAUGCAAACAUUUUUAUGAUCAGUUAUAAGAACUAAGACGGUUAAAUGUUUUCUUAAUCAUUGGACUUUCACUAAAAGACCUAGAGCAUCAUUAUUGGUAAGCUUUAACAUAGUCUCACCAUUAUAUUAUUGAUUAUUUUCAGCACCAUUGUUAUUAUUAUUAUUAUUGAUAAUUUAGUAAAUCAUACUCCUUUUGUUUCUCAAAAAGUGUCAGUUUGAUAAAUUUCAAGCCGAACAUCCAAUAACAUUGCUCUGGCAGGAAAAAUACCGGAGUCAUUAUCAAAGAUCGACUUUCAAGCAAUAGUUUUGAAGGGAAAUGGUUUCACAGGAGAUGGUUCGAUGUUUUUCGGAGGGAACAAAAGAACAGUACAAUUGGAUCUGUCGAGAAAUUUGUUUGAGUUCGAUCUCUCCAAGGUUAAGUUCGGUAAGAGCAUGGCUUUGUUGGAUCUGAGCCAUAACCGAAUCUUCGGGACGCUUCCUAGGGAACUGACUGAGCUACGUCUCGAGCGUUUCAACAUUAGUUACAAUCGUCUAUGCGGAAAAAUCCCACGUGGUGGUCAACUUCAGACCUUUAAAUCAUAUGAAUUCGCUGAGAACCGCUGUCUUUGUGGGUCCCCACUUAAGAAGGCUUGUUAAGUUUGUUUUAAUGGCGUGACUACAAAUAACUACGUCUUAUCUGUACGAUGAGGAUGUGUUAAAUAUCACUGCUAUUAAAGAAUUGUUCCUUAGAUGAAUUAAUGCUGUUGUAUCAUUUGUUCUUUUUUAAGAAUAACAUUCUUUUUGCUUUCAAAAGUGGUAUAUUUUGAUCAAAAAAAAAAGAAGAAAGUGGUGGGUAUCUCUAGUAUCCACUUGUUUGGCCGUUGUAUUUGUUUCUAUCUUGACACACAGCAACCGUUUUAAAGUUCAUACACUACACUCCACUAUUAACGCAAUUUUUCACACUGUUUUUCUUUGGAAAGUAAGUCAUGUAUUUUGUUAGACUUGACGUAAAAAUAAUAACAUCAUACAUGCUAUUCAUAUCUCUAACAUCUAACAAAUUUGUCAUCAUCUGAUAUAAGUUCUCUGUGGGUACGUACACAAGUUAAUAUAGUGCAUGCAUGAAAAGGUAACCAAAGAUACUCUUUGUAGUAUCACGAGUUAAGUUCAAGUGUUACGAUUAGACUGAUUUUUGAGAGCCGUACAGAAUCCGUCCGAGGGAUCUAUGUGAUUGCAUCCCCAUGCAUUGAUUGAAUUGUUCUUUUUAUUUGCUUUAACUGAAACCUAAAAAAGUCUUGUACAUGUAGGAGGGGUACACGCUUCGAUGGUUGGGUCGCUUCAUCCAACAGAGUUGCAACACUUUUUCCUAUUUCCAUACUAUGCAGUUGCUGCAUUCUGUGAAGGGAGACUAAAGCAUGGAACUGUAGUGAAAAAAACAUCAUUGUCACAAAUUUUUAAAAAUAUUGGAUGCUGACUGUAUGAGUGUGAUUGGUGUUGAUAGGAUGGUGGAUACAUACAGAAACACUCUGUCUUGGAGCUUCAAAAAGUAUGGCUAGGCUCAUAAGUGAGUUCAUAUCAUGCAUGCACACAAAAAUGAAAUAUGAACAUGCAUUUUAACAACCCGAAACUCCUCUCCUCCUGGGAUCCUCAAACCGACUGUUGUACUAGCUGGACCGGCAUUGAGUGCACUAACGGCCGCGUCACAUUAUUCUCUAUGGCCAACGACGACAGUGUCGUCGGUCAGAUCCCGGACCAGAUCGGCGACCUCCCUGAACUCCGUACACUCGAAAUGAGUUCCAUAAAUCUAACCGGAAACAUACCACGCACCAUCACCAAACUCAAGCACCUCGUCCUCAUCUUCUUAAGCUGGAACAGACUAUCCGGUCCAAUUCCUGAUUACAUCAGCGAGCUCAAAAGCGUUACGUUCUUGGACAUCUCCUUUAACAAGUUUACCGGUCCUAUUCCCGGUUGGCUUACUCAGAUGCCGAAGCUUCAGACCUUUCAGGCAAACAACAAUUCGCUAACCGGUCCUAUACCGAACUCUUUCGGUUCCUUUGUAGGCAACGCCCCUAAUCUUUUCUUGCCUUACAAUAAGCUCUCAGGUAUACCAAUAUUUUUUUUUCUCAAUUGUAAUAUUUCAUAAUAUAAGUAGUUUAGGAUUUUUUUUAUAUUACAAAAUAUAAUUAAGUAGUUUUGACAUCUGUAUGCACUUUUUACAUUUAUGUCGCCAAUUAUGCAAACAUUUUUAUGAUCAGUUAUAAGAACUAAGACGGUUAAAUGUUUUCUUAAUCAUUGGACUUUCACUAAAAGACCUAGAGCAUCAUUAUUGGUAAGCUUUAACAUAGUCUCACCAUUAUAUUAUUGAUUAUUUUCAGCACCAUUGUUAUUAUUAUUAUUAUUGAUAAUUUAGUAAAUCAUACUCCUUUUGUUUCUCAAAAAGUGUCAGUUUGAUAAAUUUCAAGCCGAACAUCCAAUAACAUUGCUCUGGCAGGAAAAAUACCGGAGUCAUUAUCAAAGAUCGACUUUCAAGCAAUAGUUUUGAAGGGAAAUGGUUUCACAGGAGAUGGUUCGAUGUUUUUCGGAGGGAACAAAAGAACAGUACAAUUGGAUCUGUCGAGAAAUUUGUUUGAGUUCGAUCUCUCCAAGGUUAAGUUCGGUAAGAGCAUGGCUUUGUUGGAUCUGAGCCAUAACCGAAUCUUCGGGACGCUUCCUAGGGAACUGACUGAGCUACGUCUCGAGCGUUUCAACAUUAGUUACAAUCGUCUAUGCGGAAAAAUCCCACGUGGUGGUCAACUUCAGACCUUUAAAUCAUAUGAAUUCGCUGAGAACCGCUGUCUUUGUGGGUCCCCACUUAAGAAGGCUUGUUAAGUUUGUUUUAAUGGCGUGACUACAAAUAACUACGUCUUAUCUGUACGAUGAGGAUGUGUUAAAUAUCACUGCUAUUAAAGAAUUGUUCCUUAGAUGAAUUAAUGCUGUUGUAUCAUUUGUUCUUUUUUAAGAAUAACAUUCUUUUUGCUUUCAAAAGUGGUAUAUUUUGAUCAAAAAAAAAAGAAGAAAGUGGUGGGUAUCUCUAGUAUCCACUUGUUUGGCCGUUGUAUUUGUUUCUAUCUUGACACACAGCAACCGUUUUAAAGUUCAUACACUACACUCCACUAUUAACGCAAUUUUUCACACUGUUUUUCUUUGGAAAGUAAGUCAUGUAUUUUGUUAGACUUGACGUAAAAAUAAUAACAUCAUACAUGCUAUUCAUAUCUCUAACAUCUAACAAAUUUGUCAUCAUCUGAUAUAAGUUCUCUGUGGGUACGUACACAAGUUAAUAUAGUGCAUGCAUGAAAAGGUAACCAAAGAUACUCUUUGUAGUAUCACGAGUUAAGUUCAAGUGUUACGAUUAGACUGAUUUUUGAGAGCCGUACAGAAUCCGUCCGAGGGAUCUAUGUGAUUGCAUCCCCAUGCAUUGAUUGAAUUGUUCUUUUUAUUUGCUUUAACUGAAACCUAAAAAAGUCUUGUACAUGUAGGAGGGGUACACGCUUCGAUGGUUGGGUCGCUUCAUCCAACAGAGUUGCAACACUUUUUCCUAUUUCCAUACUAUGCAGUUGCUGCAUUCUGUGAAGGGAGACUAAAGCAUGGAACUGUAGUGAAAAAAACAUCAUUGUCACAAAUUUUUAAAAAUAUUGGAUGCUGACUGUAUGAGUGUGAUUGGUGUUGAUAGGAUGGUGGAUACAUACAGAAACACUCUGUCUUGGAGCUUCAAAAAGUAUGGCUAGGCUCAUAAGUGAGUUCAUAUCAUGCAUGCACACAAAAAUGAAAUAUGAACAUUGCAUACACUUCAUACUAAAAUAAUCUUACGAGAGAGAGACGUGGAUAUUGGAUUGAUGAAACAUUGAAGCGAACCGGAGGACUUCUAACCGUACCAAGAUUCGAACAUACGGUAUAUGUAGUAGACGACUAAGCCUCUGCUCAUUUAUUUAGGUUCAUGUUUUGCAAAAUAAGAGGAGAAUAAUUGGUCUUCCUUGUGUCUAGGAACCAGACAGACAUAGUUUUUUUGAGUUCUAUUGCUUUUGGAACCAUGCCUCACUGCGUAAAAAAAUAACCACUCAAAUCACAAUGAAGAUCCUUCUUUGUCUCUCUAUCUUCUUCAUCUCUUCUCUCCCAUCCUCUUACAGCUGCAACUCAAAAGACAAAAACACUCUCCUUCAAAUCAAGAAACAUUUUAACAACACGGAAUUCCUCUCCUCAUGGGAUCCUCAAACCGACUGUUGUACAAGCUGGACAGGCAUCGAGUGCACUAACGGCCGCGUCACAUUAUUCUCUAUGGCCAACUACAGAACCCUCUACGGUCAGAUCCCUGACCAGAUCGGUGACCUCCUUGAACUCCGUACACUCGAAAUGAGUCACAUGAAACUAACCGGAAACAUACCACGCACCAUCACCAAACUCAAGCACCUCGUCUUCAUCUUCUUACUGUGGAACAAACUAUCCGGUCCAAUUCCUGAUUACAUCAGCGAGCUCAAAAGCGUUACGUUCUUGGACAUCUCCUUUAACAAGUUUACUGGUCCUAUUCCCGGUUGGCUUACUCAGAUGCCUAAGCUUCAGACCUUUCAGGCCGACAACAAUUCGCUAACCGGUCCUGUACCGAACUCUUUCGGUUCCUUCGUAGGCAGCGUCCCUAAUCUCUUCUUGAAAAACAAUAAGCUCUCAGG